AGCAAAUAGAUACCCCGGUAGUCCACGCCCUAAACGAUGUCAACUAGUUGUCGGGGUCACUAGGCUUUGGUAAACGCAGCAAAAACGCGAGAAGUUGACCGCCUGGGGAGUACGGUCGCAAGAUUAAAACUCAAAGGAAUUGACGGGGACCCGCACAAGCGGUGGAUGAUGUGGAUUAAUUCGAUGCAACGCGAAAAACCUUACCUACCCUUGACAUGGUCGGAAUCCUGUAGAGAUAUAGGAGUGCUCGCAAGAGAGCCGAUACACAGGUGCUGCAUGGCUGUCGUCAGCUCGUGUCGUGAGAUGUUGGGUUAAGUCCCGCAACGAGCGCAACCCUUGUCGUUAAUUGCCAUCAUUAAGUUGGGCACUUUAAUGAGACUGCCGGUGACAAACCGGAGGAAGGUGGGGAUGACGUCAAGUCCUCAUGGCCCUUAUGGGUAGGGCUUCACACGUCAUACAAUGGUGCAUACAGAGGGUUGCGAAGCCGCGAGGUGGAGCUAAUCUCAGAAAGUGCAUCGUAGUCCGGAUU
rnacentral:rRNA from 1 species